rnacentral:rRNA from 1 species
UACUGGGCUUAAGCGUUCGUAGCUGGGUCGUUAAGUCUCUGGGGAAAUCUUUUGGCUCAACCGAGAGGCGUCUCAGGGAUACUGGCGACCUUGGAACCGGGAGAGGUAAGAGGUACUUCGGGGGUAGGAGUGAAAUCUUGUAAUCCCCGAGGGACGACCGAUGGCGAAGGCAUCUUACCA